AGAUCACUUGAGCCCAGGAGUUAGAGGCUGCAGUGAGCUAUGAUCAUGCCACCGCAAUCCAGCUUGGGCAACAGAA
rnacentral:snRNA from 1 species